GUUCCGUAGGUGAACCUGCGGAAGGAUCAUUAUUGUAUAACCGAUGUUCGGGUUCUUUCGCUGACUUGACUGGUCGUGCACGCGCGAGUGCCCUCGCACACAUCCAUCUCGCCCCUAUGUCCGCCACCGCAUUGGUCCUCCUUUAGCGUACUCUACGUGUGGCUACCGUUGUCACACAAACGUUAUGGACAGUGUAGCAUGUGUUUUGUGUUUUUGCGAAGACGCAAUCAAGACAACUUUCAAGAACUGAUGUCUUGCCGCUCGCAUCGAUAAAGAACC
rnacentral:misc_RNA from 1 species